rnacentral:tRNA from 1 species
GGAAAAGUGGCCGAGUGGACGAAGGCGGCAGACUGUAAAUCUGUUAGUUAUACUCUCAUUGGUUCGAAUCCAAUCUUUUUCA